UACAGAGGGGGCAAGCGUUAUUCGGAAUUAUUGGGCGUAAAGGGCGCGUAGGCGGCUUGGCAAGUGGAAGGUGAAAUCCCUCGGCUUAACCGAGGAACUGCCCUCGAAACUGCUUCGCUUGAGACCGGGAGAGGUGAGUGGAAUUCCCAGUGUAGCGGUGAAAUGCGUAGAUAUUGGGAGGAACACCAGUGGCGAAGGCGGCUCACUGGUCCGGUACUGACGCUGAGGUGCGAAAGCGUGGGGAGCAAACAGG
rnacentral:rRNA from 1 species